CAGGAAAUGGCUGCUGCUCCCUGUCUGGGGAUACAUUGUCAGAGCUCUCUGUGAGUCCUGAUACAUUGUGACAGCUGGAGGUCAGUAAAUAGUGGGGCAAUUAGAGCAACUACUGGAUGGAUAUGAUCUAAUGCUAAUAACAAGCUGUCUGUCUGUCUGUGCUGUCUGUCUGUGAUCUAAUGCUAAUAACAAGCUGUCUGUCUGUCUGUGCUGUCUGUCUGUGAUCUAAUGCUAAUAACAAGCUGUCUGUCUGUCUGUGCUGUCUGUCUGUGAUCUAAUGCUAAUAACAAGCUGUCUGUCUGUCUGUGCUGUCUGUCUGUGAUCUAAUGCUAAUAACAAGCUGUCUGUCUGUCUGUGCUGUCUGUCUGUGAUCUAAUGCUAAUAACAAGCUGUCUGUCUGUCUGUGCUGUCUGUCUGUGAUCUAAUGCUAAUAACAAGCUGUCUGUCUGUCUGUGCUGUCUGUCUGUGAUCUAAUGCUAAUAACAAGCUGUCUGUCUGUCUGUGCUGUCUGUCUGUGAUCUAAUGUUAAUAACAAGCUGUCUGUCUGUCUGUGCUGUCUGUCUGUGAUCUAAUGCUAAUAACAAGCUGUCUGUCUGUCUGUGCUGUCUGUCUGUGAUCUAAUGUUAAUAACAAGCUGUCUGUCUGUGCUGUCUGUCUGUGAUCUAAUGUUAAUAACAAGCUGUCUGUCUGUCUGUGCUGUCUGUCUGAUCUAAUGCUAAUAACAAGCUGUCUGUCUGUCUGUGCUGUCUGUCUGUGAUCUAAUGCUAAUAACAAGCUGGCUGUCUGUCUGUGCUGUCUCUCUGUGAUCUAAUGUUAAUAGCUGGCUGUCUGUCUGUGAUCUAAUGUUAAUAACAAGCUGUCUGUCUGUCUAUGCUGUCUGUCUGUGAUCUAAUGGUAAUAGCUGUCUGUCUGUCUAUGCUGUCUGUCUGUGAUCUAAUGGUAAUAGCUGUCUGUCUGUCCAUGCUGUCUGUCUAUGAUCUAUUGUUCAUAGCUGUCUGUCUGUGAUCUAAUGGUAAUAGCUGCCUGUCUGUCCAUGCUGUCUGUCUGUGAUCUAAUGUUAAUACCAGUCUGUCUGUCUGUGGUCUAAUGUUAAUAGCUGUCUGUCUGUGCUGUCUGUCUGUGAUAUAAUGUUAAUAGCUGUCUGUCUAUGCUGUCUGUCUGUGAUAUAAUGUUAAUAGCUGUCUGUCUGUGAUAUAAUGUUAAUACCAGUCUGUCUGUCUGUCUGUCUGCGGUCUGAAUGUUAAUACCAGUCUGUCUGUCUGUCUGUCUGUGGUCUGAAUGUUAAUACCAGUCUGUCUGUCUGUCUGUGAUCUAAUUGUAAUACCUGUCUGUCUGUCUUGUUUUGAUAGAUAUAUCCAGUAAUCAUGGAAUAUGUAUUGAAUUGAUGUCUGUGGAAUGAAUGCAGAGUUCGCCCCUUCCCCUAUUUGGGAUCGUGUUUCUAUGCAGACAAUGCUUCUUCACACAGAAUACAAUGGUCACAUAUUAAUAGCUGGAUUCACAGAAUUCUUGUUACAUUGAUAUGAGGACAUACAACUCUCAUAACACUGAGCCAGCAGCUAUCUGUACUGGCAGUGGCAGCUGUCUGACCC